CCCUCUCGCCGGGGAGGUCCACCUCGACGGUGCGCUGGAAGGCCUUGAUCCACGUCCCGAUCUCCGACUCCAGCGCCUCCCAGGGCAUCUUCACCACGUCGUCGAUGCUCGCCUUCUCGUACCCGAGGCUCUGCAGCGACGCGUCCAGCGCGUUCCGCCGCGCCACCAGGAACACCUGCGUGCACUCCGUCUCGUACCCCGCGGCGAACAUAGCCUCCGCCAUGGCGCGGAGCCGGACCACGGUCUCCGGAGGGAACGGCGGCGAGGCGUCGGCCCAUGGGGUCGGGACAACGCAGCGGUCGAGCUCGGCGCCGUGCCCGAACGACGGCGGCCGCUUCAUGGACCUGCCCGUGGCGCUGCCCGUGUCGGCGGCCUGCGGCACCACCUUGGCGACGCGGGGGUCCUCGAGCGUGCCGUGGAACUCAUCCUCCACGAACGUCAUGGCGCGGUGCAGCACGCCGGUGACGCGGUGCACCCCGAUGCUGUAUGUGGUGGCCCUGCCCGGCGUUUUGUCCGCGGUGAGCGCGCAAGCGAGCGCGGACAGGCGCCUGAUCGCGGCGACGAGCGGCGGCGCAUCCCCGGCCUCGCUCGGCGCCCACUUGUCGUCCGUGCCCUCCGACUGCGCAAUCUCCUGCUCGACGGCGCUGGCAAACUUGUCCAGCGUCACCUCCGAGACCGCCAUCGGCGCGUCGCCGUCCCUGUGGGACGCAAGGAACGCGUCGAUCUCAGCCGACAGCGCCGCGAGGUCCGGCUCCGCGGCUUCCUCGGGCACGGCAUCGGCAUUGUCGACGGCUGCUUUAUCCUUCCGCGCCUCCUUGAUGUGCUCGGCGAGCUUGAUGGGGCCGAGGGAGAGGUUGCGGGCGAGCUUCUCGUCGCGGGAGGUGGCCGCCGAGAAGCUGCUGGACUUAAGCGGCGUGACGGGGAUCCUGUCCAUUCCUUGCCGCGGCCAAGCUCGGCGCAACGAACCAAGGUCAAUGCCUCAAUAAUGGCUGGUCUGCCGCGUC
rnacentral:misc_RNA from 1 species